UAAUAAAACCAAUACGAAUAUCGAGUUUCAAAAAAUUAAUUAAUGUAUGUAUAUUAAAAUCAAAUUUUUUUUUAUCUAAAAAAUAUAUUUUAAAUAUAAAAAAUGUAAAAAAGAAAUUUUUGUAAAUUAGUAACUCUAUAAAUUGAUAAAAUAUCAUGGUCUGAACAUUAUUAAUUAUACAGUUUUUAUUUUUGGGACAUAAAAAUGGUUUAGUGUCAUCAGAGGAUAUAAAAAAUAUAUUAUUAUAUAUGUCAUAAAAUUAAUAAAGAUCUAUAUAUAUAAAAAAAUGUUGGUCUCUGCCACGUCAUCAAUUGACUUACUCUUGAGAUGACACGUGUCCGUUCUAAACACAUCGUAUCACUUAAAAUUUUGAAACCGAUUGGGCUUCUAUAUACAUUCUGCUCUUCGUGUGAAACCUUAUAAAGCCCUACUAAUAUCUAUUGCAAAACGAUACGUUUUGAUUUUCACGGUAAGAAUAAAACAAGAUAUUUCCAAAACGCUGCGUCUCUUACAUUUUUUGUUUCAGCGCUCUCUCUUCUCCGCCGUAGCAGUUCUAGGGUUUUGCUCUGUUUGUUCAUCUUCUUCCUAUCGAUUCAGAGCUCAAUCGGUUACGGAUUCAAUCAUUUUAAAUACCUUCUUAAAUCCAUCGCAUACAAUCUAUCUUCAAUGACGCCUUUGCUCUUCAGGGGCGGUGGAUGUUCGAGUAUAAAAAGUCCGGCAGAAGUUCUUCCACGGUUGAGGUGAGACUACUGCGUUUCUGGGAGGCGAGGAAUAUCAGAUGCGCUGAUGAGCUCAUGUCCGUCGAUAUGCUUUUGGUUGAUACAAAUGCGACUCUUGUGCCAGCCACCGUUGCUGCUA